rnacentral:lncRNA from 1 species
UCUGCCCUUCACCAUAGAUAAUCUCCACGAUGCCAAACCCAAACAGACAACUGCCUCUGACCUUGACCUCGUUAUUACAUUUGGGGAGGAGCUGGAGGGAAUGUGACAGAAGAGCGGGCCGUGAUCAGCAGCGAGAAGAGCGCAUGCAAAGGCCACAGGGUAAAGUCUCUGGGACUUCCUGAAGGACUGGACACGAGGCGUGAAAAGCACUGAGGAAUCAAGGAUGACUUGGAGGUUUCCGGCCUGAGCAACCAGAAGGCUCAAGUUGCCAUGACGGGAGGCUGAAAGAGCAAGUGGAUCUAGGACGUGUCGAGUCUGAGACGUCUGAUCGACAUGAAAGAGCUCUCUUCCCUCUGCCAGCCAUCCUGCUCACUGCUACCAACGCUGGAAAAUACAACUCUGGUAUAAGGCAACUCUUGCGUCUCACAAAUCCUAUCUUCCGAUCAAGCUGAAACAAAUGUUCUUGCUCCCCACAUCCUCACACCCCGCCUUCCCUCCACCAGCAUGCUUACAGCAGCACUGCACCCUCCGAAGGCGUGCUGAGGCUUUUCCCACCGCAGCCCCGGAUCUCCACAAAGCCAAACUCACGCAUCCAGCAGAUCCAAAUAAAUGCCGCAUCUGCCCUGACGCCUUCCCAAAUUCUAUGGGAUGUUCUUUGUUCUUUUUUCCUAGUAAUUCGUCAACCACCGCCUUGUAUUAUAGCAAUGUGGAUAUAAAUCUUAUCCUCUCUUCACUGCAAAGAACAUGUCUGGUUUAUGUUCCUAUUCUUUUGACCCCUUGGACCUGUUCAGAAAGCAUUACUUAAAUGAAGUAACAAAGGCAUGGGCUAACGACAGAGGGUGUCCCUGAGCCAUUUGGAUUCCACCGCCAUAAGGUGUAGUGCAGAAAGUGGGGUUGAGCGGCCAGGUACAUUUCCUCUCUGAGCAACAAGGAAUCCAGGAGCCUGAGAGUAAAGAUGGGGUAGAAAUGUCUAGAGGUACAAGUACUUUGCAAGCAAAUAUUAUUACUGACAUGAAACAUCAUUUCUAGAAAUAAACACAAAGAUAAUCUUGUCACAGUCACUUCACUGGUCAA